rnacentral:tRNA from 1 species
GGGAAUGUGGCUAAGUAGUAAAGUACUUGCCUAGCAUGCAUGAAGCCCUGGGUUCAAUUCCUCGGUACCA